rnacentral:rRNA from 1 species
GAUGAACGCUGGCGGCGUGCUUAACACAUGCAAGUCGAACGAAGCACUUUUUCUUGAUUCUUCGGAUGAAGGAGAUAGUGACUGAGUGGCGGACGGGUGAGUAACGCGUGGGUAACCUGCCUCAUACAGGGGGAUAACAGUUAGAAAUGACUGCUAAUACCGCAUAAGCGCACAGUAUCGCAUGGUACAGUGUGAAAAACUCCGGUGGUAUGAGAUGGACCCGCGUCUGAUUAGCUAGUUGGUGAGGUAACGGCUCACCAAGGCAACGAUCAGUAGCCGGCCUGAGAGGGUGAAACGGCCACAUUGGGACUGAGACACGGGCCCAAAAUCCUACGGGAGGCAGCAGUGGGAAUAUGCACAAUGGGGGAAACCCUGAUGCAGCGACGCCGCGUGAGUGACG